UUUAAAUCCACCGAAUCCUUAUUAGACAAGGAAAUUGGGCAGAGCUGCCUGACUUAGAAGCCUCCUGCUUUAAGAAUCAUGCAGCCCGGCCUAAGUGGAGGAGGAAGAUUUGCUUAUGCACGUCUUGGGGACCCUCAGAAAUGAGAGGAGCGCUGCCAUUUUCUCAGCACACUUGGAAUUGACCAGAACUGAAGUCAGCAAACAUCCAUGGAACGCAAGACACACCCCACCCUCCCAACAGAGAACCAGAGAAAAAGUCAAGCCAAGGUAGGGUGUUUGGUUUUUUUUUUCUUUUUUCUAAAAUCCAUGAUUAAAACCUGGUACAAACAGGUGAAUAUAUAGAUAUAUUUCUUUUAGUAGAUGUAAUAUUUUUUUUCCUUUCUCUUGCUCUCUCUCUCUCAUUAUACAGCAAACAUUUGCAAAUAUAGAAUUUCUUUUUCUCUCUGUACAAUAGAGCGGUGUCGGUUUUUACAAGGCGACACACAGUACCUUUUCACGAAAGAAAUGCACAAAUGGGACUUCAGGCGGUUCAUAGUCUAAACUGGAAGACUCCAUUUGCAAAAGGCCC